UGUCUGUAACUGACGUGAGGCGGAAAGCGUGGGAGCAAACAGGAUUAGAUACCCUGGUAGUCCACGCUGUAAACGAUGAGUGCUAAGUGUUAGAGGUUUCCGCCCUUUAGUGCUGAAGUUAACGCAUUAAGCACUCCGCUGGGGAGUACGGUCGCAAGACUGAAAUCAAAGGAAUUGACGGGGGCCCGCACAAGUGGUGGAGCAUGUGGUUUAAUUCGAAGCAACGCGAAGAACCUUACCAGGUCUUGACAUCCUCUGACAACCCUAGAGAUAGGGCUUUCCCUUCGGGGACAGAGUGACAGGUGGUGCAUGGUUGUCGUCAGCUCGUGUCGUGAGAUGUUGGGUUAAGUCCCGCAACGAGCGCAACCCUUGAUCUUAGUUGCCAGCAUUCAGUUGGGCACUCUAAGGUGACUGCCGGUGACAAACCGGAGGAAGGUGGGGAUGACGUCAAAUCAUCAUGCCCCUUAUGACCUGGGCUACACACGUGCUACAAUGGAUAGUACAAAGGGUUGCAAGACCGCGAGGUGGAGCUAAUCCCAUAAAACUAUUCUCAGUUCGGAUUGUAGGCUGCAACUCGCCUACAUGAAGCCGGAAUCACUAGUAAUCGCGGAUCAGCAUGCCGCGGUGAAUACGUUCCCGGGCCUUGUACACACCGCCCGUCACACCACGAGAGUUUGUAACACCCGAAGUCGGUGGGGUAACCUUUUAGGGGCCAGCCGCCUAG
rnacentral:rRNA from 2 species